AAUUCUUCAAAAAUCACAGGAAAUCACAGCAGAUCGUAGCUUGAACGCACAGCGAGAAAAGAAGACUUCAAAAAUAAUAAAGAAACAAGAAAGAAGCAAGAGACAGCCAAACAAACGUGUUCACUUCUAUUUAUAUGAGAUUGUAGCACAGGGAAAACCAAAUUAUUAUAAUGAAUAUCUGAAUACCAGUUACCUUGAUUGGGAUGGGGGAGCAGUUGAUGCCUGGGAAGGUGCACAAGGGAUGAAUCUGGAGAAUUUGAAAUAUUCUAGAGAUUCAUCUGGAUGGCGAACAUACGUAAAACUUAGUUGCAUAUUUAACAUUUCCAUCCUUUGUGAGUGUUUUAUAUCAAUUAAAAAGUGUAAGAAGCCAAUCCUGCACCCUGAAUCCAAUAUGAAUUUAAAAAUAAGAAUCAUCAUAUGUUUACGGAAUCUUAACCUUGCUAAGGAGAAGUGAGAAAUGCACCUGGGAAAUUCUAAGUAACGAGAAAUCUAAGAGAGAAGACAAAGAGAAAAGGGAAUUUAUCCUACUCAUGCAGCACAGAUUUUAUCUCUAUUGGUUUCUCUCUAAACAGAGACAAUAUUUAAGUCAUUUUGCCCUCAAGAGAGGCUCCCACCAUCCCCUUGGCUCUUUCCACCCCACUGCACCCAUCAGGGGAUUUGCAUAUUGUCCCCUAGGGAGGACCUUCCAUUGUGAGUCUGAGAUAAAAGCUCAGCUCUAACCUUGCCUUGACUGAUCAGGACUCCUCAGGGCACCUUCUCACGAUGAGGCUCCCUGCUCAGCUCCUGGGGCUGCUAAUGCUCCGGGUCCCCGGUAAGGACAGCAGGGAGAUGAGGGAGGAGAAUGGGGUGGGAGGGUGAGCUCUGGGGGCCCAAUGUCUCCCAUGUGUGUUCAGUCCACGUGUUAGAUAUGCAGGUCUUUUUCUGCAGCAUGAGGCAUAUGAUGUACUGAUCUCUGAGAGGGAGGAAGAUUUUAGAAGGAAGGAUAUGUGCCCUGAAGAAACACAAGUCUUAGAAAGAGGAUGAUGGUAUGGGAGACCACUUUG
rnacentral:lncRNA from 1 species